GGUUGUGGCUCAGUGGUAGAGCGCUUGUCUAGCACGUGCGAGGCCCUGGGUUCAAUCCUUAGCACCA
rnacentral:tRNA from 1 species